rnacentral:lncRNA from 1 species
UGUAUAUCAUCUUUUGUACUUGAUGAUUAUAGAUGUUUAAAUAAAAGAACAUGAAUGAUGUAAGAGAAUUUAUGUUUAAAUGCAAAGAGUUAUAUUUUGAGAUAUCAUAUGAUGUAAAAGAGAAGAAAUGAUGCAAAAGAAUGUAAAAGAAUUUUAAGUUGUAUGCAUGUAUGUGGUUAAAAGUUAAUCAUAUUACUUGUAUGAAUGUUUAGAUUAGUAUUUUCACUUUGGCUACUGCUUGCCCUCGUGCAAGCCAAGUAUAUUUAUGUUUCCGUUGUGCAAUUUAUAUACUUGCUCUGUACUUGUUUUGAGCCUUGGGAGGACAGGGGAAGUGCUGUUCGUUCGGCGUCUAUUCGACGUGCCCGAACCGACCAAAUAGGCCGGGCUCGGGAAGUACACUACGCGCUCCAGCACCACUCGCAACUCGGCACACAAAGAAUUCUUCUUUGCAUUCAUCACCCCUUCAGGGAUUACACUUCAAUUCGAUUAUCGACAUUGCUUAGAAGCAAUAUCAC